GAUGAACGCUGGCGGCGUGCCUAAUACAUGCAAGUCGAGCGAACAGACGAGGAGCUUGCUCCUUUGACGUUAGCGGCGGACGGGUGAGUAACACGUAGGUAACCUAACUAUAAGACUGGGAUAACUUCGGGAAACCGGAGCUAAAACCGGAUAAUAUUUCGAACCGCAUGGUUCGAUAGUGAAAGAUGGCUUUGCUAUCACUUAUAGAUGGACCUGCGCCGUAUUAGCUAGUUGGUAAGGUAACGGCUUACCAAGGCAACGAUACGUAACCGACCUGAGAGGGUGAUCGGCCACACUGGAACUGAGACACGGUCCAGACUCCUACGGGAGGCAGCAGUAGGGAAUCUUCCGCAAUGGGCGAAAGCCUGACGGAGCAACGCCGCGUGAGUGAUGAAGGUCUUCGGAUCGUAAAACUCUGUUAUUAGGGAAGAACAAACGUGGAAGUAACUGUGCACGUCUUGACGGUACCUAAUCAGAAAGCCACGGCUAACUACGUG
rnacentral:rRNA from 1 species